GAGCAGUUAGAACUGUCAAGGAAGAAGAAGAGUGGAAAGAAGGCUACAGAAGAAGCUGAGGUGAAGAAGCAAAGACUUGCCUAUUGACCCAGUUCCAGGAUUUAAAGUGUCAGGCCUGACUGAAGCUUUGAGGGAGUUUGAUGGGACGGUGGGAAUGGCACCUCCAGAGGUGGGGGAAUCUGUCAAGUAGGUGGACCUUGUUACAUGGCUUGUGUACGGAGCAAGACAAUAGUGGAUGUUGAACAACUUUUACAUGGACCUUUGGCACUUGGAUAAGAUACAGUAAAUUGUUCUAUACCUCAUGUCCACAUUCUGAGAGAAACAAGGAUGCUAUUUCAGCUCAUAGUAAGCCAAGACACACAUGGGACAGAAUGCUGUGAUCCUAUGCAAACUUACAUGAGAGAACGCUCCUUUGAACACAAUGGAAUUUACUUCUGGGUAUGCAUGAAAGAGAAGAAGAGGACGACCAGCAGCAAGGUGGAUGGACUCGAUUAUGACAGCAAUGAAUGCACCACUGAGAGAUCUUAAAGGCCAAGUUGAAGACAGAUCAUCCUGGAAAGAAUCUAUCUAUGUGGUCGCUAAGAGUCAACACCGACUUGAUGGCACUUAAUCAAGCAAUGCAUGAAUAGGAUUAGGAUGUAAAGGAGGGAAUGCAAGAAGCAAAGACAGGAUACAUAGUGCUGAAAACCAAUUAAUGAUGUAGAAUAAACAUUAUGCCUUUUAAAACUAGGAAUAAAUAUUUCCAAAGACA